AAAUAAUAAAAAUUUACUUAUUAGUGAAGAGGCUAAUAUUUAAUUAAAAGACAAGAAGACCCUAUAGAGCUUAACUCCUAUCUUGUAAAAAGAAAAAGAGAUUUUGUUGGGGUGACAGGGGAAGAUAUCUAUCUUCCUUUUUAUUAAAGGCCAAUUAGCCUCUUUCCAUACCCUUUAAAAAGGAUUAAAGAAAGCUACCUUAGGGAUAACAGGCUAAUUCCCCCUAAGAGUCCUAAUCGACGGGGGAGCUUGGCACCUCGAUGUUGGCUUAAGGUCCCUAAAUUGCGCAAAAGUAAUUUCAGGUGGUUUGUUCAACCAUUAAACCCUU
rnacentral:rRNA from 1 species